ACUUGUGACAUCCACCCCUCUUCACGGCUGAGGAACUUUGGCCCCGAGCGAGGAAGCGACCGGCCCACGGCCACACGCCCGGAGUGGGUAAAUAUCUACUCAUGGGAUUGCUGGGCUGUAUGGGGGCAGCAUCUUCUACUAUGUGCAUCUACAUUGGAUGGCAGUGGAGCAACACAGAUUGUUUUCUGACAAAAAUCAGCCAAGUACUAGGAGAGGCAGGACUUUAGAAGUGGAGGAGAUGGAGAAGGAAGCUUAGGUUACUAUGGAGUGUGCAAAAAGGUCCUGUGGAUUUAGAUACCACCACACACAAAUGGUAUGUAAUACUCACUUGAAGACAAAUCAGCCAGAGGGAUCUAACAGCAUUGACCCAUUCUCUGGUCUUCUAGCAUCCAUCAUAGUUUUGUGCUCCUUUUCCAUGAAACACAGCUGUUGUUGGAAGGUACCUGCCCAGAUAAGGACUGCAUUUCCUCUAGCAUCCAGAUGGGACCAAAUGACUGCUGGCCAAUAGAAGUGAGUGGAAAGGACUGACUCCAGUUCCAGGUUGGGCCUCCAACUGCUCUGGGCACGUCGAUGGAACAGAACACCACCUCCACCCCAAUACCACCAAUUCAACUUUACAUGAAUUAUAAGCGAGAAAUAA
rnacentral:lncRNA from 1 species